UACGUAGGGUGCGAGCGUUGUCCGGAAUUAUUGGGCGUAAAGGGCUCGUAGGCGGUUUGUCGCGUCGGGAGUGAAAACACCGGGCUUAACUCGGUGCUUGCUUUCGAUACGGGCAGACUAGAGGCAUGCAGGGGAGAACGGAAUUCCUGGUGUAGCGGUGAAAUGCGCAGAUAUCAGGAGGAACACCGGUGGCGAAGGCGGUUCUCUGGGCAUGUCCUGACGCUGAGGAGCGAAAGUGUGGGGAGCAAACAUG
rnacentral:rRNA from 1 species